rnacentral:rRNA from 1 species
CCCUUAGAUGUUCUGGGCCGCACGCGCGCUACACUGACGAAGUCAGCGAGCAUGUCCUACGCCGACAGGUGCGGGGAAUCUUGUCAAACUUCGUCGUGAUGGGGAUUGAUUAUUGAAAUUCUUGAUCAUCAACGAGGAAUUCCUAGUAAGCGCAAGUCAGCAGCUUGCGUUGAUUACGUCCCUGCCCUUUGUACACACCGCCCGUCGCUACUACCGAUUGAAUGGUUUAGUGAGAUCUUCGGAUGGGCGCCACUGCGGCUCAGCAAUGGGCUCGGUGGAUGCCGAAAAGUUGAUCAAACUUGAUCAUUUAGAGGAAGUAAAAGUCGUAACA